UGCCACAUGGGUAAGGCAAAUAUGGUAACUUUAUUAACCUUGAUUUUCCACACAACAAUAAAAUAUUUGACAAUGAAAAAUUUCUCAAAGGUAAUAAAUUUCUGUUAUGUCCUCCAAUAACACACUAGGGUUGAAAUUUUGAAUUUCAGAGUAUUUCUAUGUGUGCCCUAUAAGGGGUUAA